CCUACGGGAGGCAGCAGUGGGGAAUUUUGGACAAUGGGGGCAACCCUGAUCCAGCAAUGCCGCGUGAGUGAAGAAGGCCUUCGGGUUGUAAAGCUCUUUUGUCAGGGAAGAAACACCGGCUCUAACACAGUCCGGGAAUGACGGUACCUGAAGAAUAAGCACCGGCUAACUACGUGCCAGCAGCCGCGGUAAUACGUAGGGUGCGAGCGUUAAUCGGAAUUACUGGGCGUAAAGCGUGCGCAGGCGGUUAUACAAGACAGGCGUGAAAUCCCCGGGCUUAACCUGGGAAUGGCGCCUGUGACUGUAUAGCUAGAGUGUGUCAGAGGGGGGUAGAAUUCCACGUGUAGCAGUGAAAUGCGUAGAUAUGUGGAGGAAUACCAAUGGCGAAGGCAGCCCCCUGGGAUAACACUGACGCUCAUGCACGAAAGCGUGGGGAGCAAACAGGAUUAGAUACCCUGGUAGUCCACGCCCUAAACGAUGCUGACUAGUUGUUCGGGAUUUACAUCCUGAGUAACGUAGCUAACGCGUGAAGUCAGCCGCCUGGGGAGUACGGUCGCAAGAUUAAAACUCAAAUGAAAUUGACGA
rnacentral:rRNA from 1 species